rnacentral:rRNA from 1 species
AGAGUUUGAUCCUGGCUCAGGACGAACGCUGGCGGCGCGCCUAACACAUGCAAGUCGAACGGAGAUCAUUCAGUAGAAGUUUUCGGAUGGACACCGAGUGAUCUUAGUGGCGAACGGGUGAGUAACGCGUGAGCAAUCUGCCUCAGAGUGGGGGACAACAGUUAGAAAUGACUGCUAAUACCGCAUAAGACCACAGCACCGCAUGGUGCAGGGGUAAAAACUCCGGUGGUAUGAGAUGGACCCGCGUCUGAUUAGGUAGUUGGUGGGGUAACGGCCUACCAAGCCGACGAUCAGUAGCCGACCUGAGAGGGUGACCGGCCACAUUGGGACUGAGACACGGCCCAAACUCCUACGGGAGGCAGCAGUGGGGAAUAUUGCACAAUGGGGGAAACCCUGAUGCAGCGACGCCGCGUGAGCGAUGAAGUAUUUCGGUAUGUAAAGCUCUAUCAGCAGGGAAGAAAAUGACGGUACCUGACUAAGAAGCACCGGCUAAAUACGUGCCAGCAGCCGCGGUAAUACGUAUGGUGCAAGCGUUAUCCGGAUUUACUGGGUGUAAAGGGUGCGUAGGUGGUAUGGUAAGUCAGAAGUGAAAACCCGGGGGCUCACUUCCGCGGAUUGUUUUUGAAACUAUCAGACUGGAGUACCGGAGAGGUAAGGGGAAUUCCUAGUGUAGCGGUGAAAAUGAUUAGUUAUUAGGAGGAACACCAGUGGCGAAGGCGGCUUACUGGACGGGUAACUGACACUGAGGCACGAAAGCGUGGGGAGCAAACAGGAUUAGAUACCCUGGUAGUCCACGCCGUAAACGAUGAGCACUAGGUGUCGGGGUCGUAAGACUUCGGUGCCGCAGUUUAACGCAAUAAGUGCUCCGCCUGGGGAGUACGUUCGCAAGAAUGAAACUCAAAGGAAUUGACGGGGACCCGCACAAGCAGCGGAGCAUGUGGUUUAAUUCGAAGCAACGCGAAGAACCUUACCAGGGCUUGACAUCCCUCUGACAUACCUGUAACGGGGUAUUUCUACGGACAGAGGAGACAGGUGGUGCAUGGUUGUCGUCAGCUCGUGUCGUGAGAUGUUGGGUUAAGUCCCGCAACGAGCGCAACCCUUGUCAUUAGUUGCCAGCAGUAAGAUGGGCACUCUAAUGAGACUGCCGGGGACAACUCGGAGGAAGGUGGGGAUGACGUCAAAUCAUCAUGCCCCUUAUGUUCUGGGCUACACACGUGCUACAAUGGUCGGUACAGAGAGGAAGCGAACUCGUGAGGGGGAGCGAAUCUAUAAAACCGAUCCCAGUUCGGAUUGCAGGCUGCAACUCGCCUGCAUGAAGUCGGAGUUGCUAGUAAUCGCAGAUCAGAAUGCUGCGGUGAAUGCGUUCCCGGGUCUUGCACACACCGCCCGUCA